GGGAUUUGCAUUCAUUUAGAUAGAUUUGAUGACAUAAAAUUAAUUCCCAUUUUUGUUUCAUCAUUAUUAACUAAUAUAAAAUAAUAUAAUUAGGUGAUUUGUGAAGCAUACUUUCUAGCCUGCCAUAUAUCUUAUUGCCUUAACACUCCUUCAUAAUAUCUCUGCAGUUGGAAGUGGAACUACUGACUACUAUCGCAUCAAUGUUGAACAAUUUCUGGGCAACAGGAGAGGUGGAGUGGUGUGGCACCGAGAGUCUGGGCCUCAUGAGAUAUGUAGUGGGACAGGGGCCAUCUGGCUCACAGGCACAUCAUAGUACUGCAUGUUCUUACUAUUAAAUGCAAGAGUCCCUAAACUACUGCAUAUACACCCCAGGCAGGAUCUGGGUCAUACCAGACAUUUCUGUGACUCUAUGAUACUGUGCCUCUCUUCCUCUGUUGUCCUUUGUGGAGUUUACCCAAAGUUAGCAGUACCAGGUGUCUCAUAAAACAUCAGUAAGAUGACAAUCAUUAUUACAGACAUCAUUGAGGUCUCCCCACAAACCCGGAACUUCUCUUAAUGUAAAGAGAGUGAAAGAGCACCACCCCUCUCUGCUU
rnacentral:lncRNA from 1 species